AGAACGCUUGUUUUUCCACGUUCACACUAAUUUGAAUCUUCGUGGAUUUUAAUAUUUUAUGUUACACCAAACACAUUGAAAAAUGCUCCAAGGUAGUCUGUGUUCUUGAAUGACUUUGAUGACCCAACACUCCAUUCACAAUCUUACUAAGUUAACUAAUUAACCUUUUUUAGUUCUCAUUGCUAUGCAAUCAUCCUCAUCUUCCUUUAGUUACAGAUUCAGCAAUGAAGUGUUCCUCAGCUUCCGAGGGGAAGAUACUCGUCACAGUUUUACCGGCAAUCUCUAUAAAGCUCUCUCUGAGAGAGGAAUUCACACCUUCAUCGAUGACAAGAAGCUCCCUAGAGGAGACCAAAUCAGCUCAGCACUUGAGAAGGCAAUUGAAGAGUCCAGAAUACUCAUCAUCGUGCUCUCUGAAAACUAUGCAUCGUCCUCCUUCUGCUUAAACGAACUUGGUUACAUCCUUAAGUUUAUUAAGGGGAAGGGCCUAUAGGUUUUGCCUGUUUUUUAUAAGGUUGAUCCUUCUGAUGUGAGAAACCAUGCAGGUAGUUUUGGAGAGUCAUUGGCUAAUCAUGAAAAGAAGUUCAACGCUGAUAAGGAGACUUUCAAGUGUAACCUGGUGAAGCUGGAGACAUGGAAGAUGGCUCUGCACCAAGUGGCUAACUUGUCUGGUUACCAUUUCAAACAUGGGGAAGAAUACGAAUAUAAGUUUAUUCAGAGGAUUGUUGAGUUGGUCUCUAAGAAAAUUAAUCGUGUUCCUUUACAUGUUGCGGAUUAUCCAGUUGGACUAGAGUCACGAAUGCAAGAAGUAAAAGCACUUCUGGAUGUUGGAUCUGAUGAUGUUGUCCACUUGCUGGGGAUACAUGGGCUGGGUGGAGUAGGUAAAACGACACUUGCUGCUGCAGUUUAUAAUUCCAUUGCUGACCAUUUUGAAGCUUUGUGUUUCCUUGAAAACGUGAGAGAAACUUCAAAAAAACAUGGGUUACAACAUCUCCAAAGCAACCUUCUUUCUGAAACAGUUGGAGAGCAUAAGUUAAUAAGUGUGAAACAAGGAAUUUCCAUAAUACAGCAUAGGCUUCAGCAACAAAAGAUUCUUUUGAUUCUAGAUGAUGUUGACAAAAGGGAGCAGCUACAGGCGCUUGCUGGAAGACCUGAUUUGUUUGGUCUUGGCAGUAGAGUCAUCAUCACGACUCGGGACAAACAAUUGCUAGCAUGUCACGGUGUUGAAUGAACAUAUGAGGUGAAUGAAUUGAAUGAGGAACAUGCUCUUGAAUUACUUAGUUGGAAAGCUUUCAAGUUGGAAAAAGUUGAACCAUUUUACAAGGAUGUUCUGAAUCGAGCAGCAACUUAUGCUUCGGGCCUUCCAUUAGCUUUAGAAGUAAUAGGUUCCAACUUAUAUGGAAGAAAUAUAGAACAAUGGAUAUCUGCUUUAGAUCGAUACAAAAGAAUCCCUAAUAAAGAGAUCCAAGAGAUACUUAAAGUGAGUUAUGAUGCUUUGGAAGAAGAUGAGCAAAGUGUUUUUCUUGACAUUGCUUGUUGCUUCAAAAAAUAUGGUUUGGUAGAGGUUGAAGAUAUACUUCAUGCUCAUCAUGGGCAUUGCAUGAAACAUCAUAUUGGAGUGUUGGUUGAAAAAUCUCUCAUAAAGAUUAGUUUUGAUGGUAACGUAACACUACAUGACUUGAUAGAGGACAUGGGUAAAGAAAUUGUCAGGCAAGAAUCAGUCAAAGAACCUAGGAAACGUAGCAGAUUAUGGUUUCCAAAGGAUAUAGUUCAAGUUUUAGAAGAAAAUAAGGGAACUAGUCAGAUUGAAAUCAUUUGUAUGGAUUUCCCCAUAUUUCAAGAAAUACAAAUAGAAUGGGAUGGGUAUGCCUUCAAGAAGAUGAAAAAACUCAAAACACUUAUUAUCAGAAAUGGUCAUUUCUCCAAAGGUCCCAAACAUCUUCCUAAUACAUUGAGAGUUUUGGAAUGGAAGAGAUAUCCUACACAAAAUUUUCCAUAUGAUUUUUAUCCGAAGAAACUUGCUAUAUGCAAGUUACCUUACAGCAGGUUUACAUCACAUGAGUUGGCUGUCUUAUUAAAAAAGAAAUUUGUAAAUUUGACAAGUUUAAAUUUUGACUACUGUCAAUAUUUAACACACAUACCAGAUGUAUUUUGUCUCCCACAUUUGGAAAAUUUUUCAUUUCAAUGGUGUCAAAAUUUAUCUGCAAUUCACUAUUCAGUUGGGUUCUUGGAAAAACUUAAAAUCUUAGACGGAGAAGGUUGCUCCAGACUUAAGAGUUUUCCCGCCAUGAAGUUGACCUCUCUUGAGCAAUUCAAACUUCGGUAUUGUCACAGUCUUGAGAGUUUUCCAGAAAUAUUAGGAAGGAUGGAAAAUAUAACAGAACUUGAUUUGAAAGAAACUCCUGUAAAAAAAUUUCCACUUUCAUUUGGAAACCUUACCCGGAUUCAAAAAUUACAACUGUCUUUGACCGGUGUUAAUGGAAUUCCCCUUUCCAGCCUUUGCAUGAUGCCAGAUCUGGUCUCUAUUAUAGGUUGGAGAUGGGAAUUGAGUCCAUUCCCUGAAGAUGAUGACGGUGCAGAAAAAGUGAGCUCAACCUUGUCUUCAAACAUUCAAUAUCUUCAGUUCAGAUGCUGCAACCUAACAGAUGAUUUUUUUCGAAUAGUUCUCCCAUGGUUUGCUAAUGUGAAGAACUUAGACCUACCAGGAAAUUCUUUUACAGUUAUUCCCGAAUGCAUCAAGGAAUGCCACUUUUUAACUAGGCUUAAUUUGAAUUAUUGUGAGUUUCUUCUAGAAAUUAGAGGGAUUCCUCCAAACUUGAAAUAUUUCUCUGCAAUAGAAUGUCAAUCUUUGACUUCUUCAUGUAGAAGCAAGUUACUGAAUCAGGAUCUGCAUGAGAGUGGUAGUCCCUUCUUUUAUUUGCCAGGAGCCAAUAUUCCAGAGUGGUUUGAGUUCCAAACAUCAGAAUUGCCAAUAUCUUUCUGGUUUCGUAACAAAUUGCCGGCCAUAGCUAUUUGUCUUGUUAUGGAACAGGUGUGUGUGUGUGAGUAUUCUUCCUCGUCAAAAGGUGACACAUUUAGACCCUUGAUGAUCCCUACUACAUUUAGACUCAUGUCACUCAUCGUGAUCAUCAAUGGCAAUGAACAUUUUUUGUUUGACAGUUGGGAAAUGGUCCGGAUGGAAAGUGAUUGCACAUGUCUUUUUGAUCUGCGGGAGACAAUACAACAAAAUAAUUUAAAUGAAACACUUUUGGAAAAUGAAUGGAACCAUGCAGUUAUUAAACGUCCAGAUCUUAAUUUUGGCCAAAAAUCUAUAAAAAACGGAAUCCACUUAUUGAAACAGGAAAGUAGCAUGGAGGAUAUUCGAUUCACUAAUCCUUUUAGAAAAAGAAAAUUGGUUGAUGAUCGAUUUCAAUAGUUCAGAAUCAUAAAACCAACGGUUUCUGAGAAAGUAAAGAUGAGUGGACUCAAUUUGUGCAGCACCAACAACUUAUGAUUUGAGUUUUUUAUAUGUCACACAUGAGGAACUGGGCAAAAUUGUUUGGCAUCUCUUCCUGCCCCAGCAGUCAACAAUACGAUAAUGAGCAAGACGAUUCGAGUUCAACUGGUGUUAAUGCAGAUAAAAGACAACUUGGUAACUAGUUUUAUUUUUCUAGUGCUUACUUGAAACUAAUUUAAGUUUUGCAGUCAAGUAUGUUAUAGAUAUGUAACUUGUCUUUGCUUUCAUUGAAAAUAGAUUGUUCCAAAUUUUACACUUAAGUCUCUUAAUACAAUUAUUGUCCCAUAUUUUACUUAAUUUGUAUUCCAAAUCUCUGGUUUUAUAUAGCAAUUUCAACUGUA